GAAGAACGAAAUAUAUAUUUUUAAUAAAGAGAGAAAUAUAUUGUUUCUUUUGUUCUUUUCUUUCUUAACACUUUCUUUGGAAAUUAGCGGAGAAGGGAGGAGAGGGAAUGAAAGGAAACAUAGAGGAAAUUCCUAUAUUUAUUGAUCAUGAGAUCUAUUGGAACACUUGAAUUGGCAUAAAGAGAAAGCUACAAAAUGAUCCUCAUGACAGGAGCACUAAGUAAGUAAGCUAAUUUUAUUUUUUAUUUUUUCCUAUAAGAAAAAAUCAGGCAUAAAAUAUUGUCUCGAUAGAUAUAAUCUUAAGCCAUUGCCAAAAGUCUUAAUUUGAUUGUCCAUCGCCUGAUCCAAUCUUAUUCACGACUCAACUACAUGUUGCUUAAUUCCUUAAUUCAUUUUCAUUGAGCUAUUAAGAUGAGAAUUCAUAUAUAAGAAGAUGCAAUCAUUAAUCUAGAAUAGCAUACAUUAUCAAAACCAAAGGGUUAAAGCUAGUUUUCACUCUUCACAUUCAGGAAAAGUUAUAAACCUGCUACUGCCGCACAAAAUGAAAAUAGUAAUCACAUACGUUCAGUUUAUGCAUAUGUUCAUAUACAAAAAUAAAAAUAAAAAGAGAGAGAGGGGGGGACAGGGGGAGAAUGAUAAUUGAUGUCGAGAAAAUUGGGGUGCCAGGCAGGAUUGACGUUUCACUUAUAUCAAACAAAACUAUAUAUCAUUCAUUUGGUAACACAAUAUUGUGUUUGGGUUAUGUGACAAAGCUUGUGUUGUGGAACACCGAUUUUAAUUUUACUCAAAAACUCUUAAUAACGCCUCUAAACAUACUUCUAUGUUCUAUCUACCCAAAAAUAAUAAUACUACCAUAUUCAAUAAGCGACACAUUUAUCAAAAAAUAUUUUAAAUUUAAUGACUCUUUUAAUGGUGUAUAAAAUAUUAGUUUUGCAAUUAAAUAUCAUUUUUUAUUAUGUAAAUGAUAGAGAAAUAAUAAUACUUUUAUUGAGUUAUUAAUGUCGGUAUAUUUAUUAUUAUCGUUAAUGCAAAGAAGAACGUAUUAAUUUAGAAAUGCUGAGUAAUAUUUAAUUAGAU
rnacentral:lncRNA from 1 species